GACAGAGGGUGCGAACGUUGUUCGGAAUUACUGGGCGUAAAGCGCGUGUAGGCGGCAACGCAAGUCGGGCGUGAAAUCCCACGGCUCAACCGUGGAAGUGCACUCGAAACUGCGUAGCUAGAGUCCUGGAGAGGAAGGUGGAAUGCUUGGUGUAGUGGUGAAAUGCGUAGAGAUCGGGAGGAACACCCGUGGCGAAGGCGGCCAACUGGGCCCGGACCUGGACGCUGAGGCGCGAAGGCGUGGGGAGCGAACGG
rnacentral:rRNA from 1 species